rnacentral:lncRNA from 1 species
UCCUCUGCCAAGUGGCCAAAGGCCUUAAGCAAACUAAACAGAAAGAAGUUAGUACAAAUGUUGGAAUUCUCCAGAGUUUAAAACCUAAUUUGUCCUAGAGUUCUUGUCAUUCAUAUGAUUCAAGAAAAAAAAUAAAGGAGGCAGAUCAAAUCUAAGAAAUGCAACAAGGUAAAUACAAAGCUUACUUUCUCUUAAAUCUUAGAGAUUCUUUAAGGUAAACACUUGAUGUAACGAAAUGUUUUAUUGAACAUUGUCCUUUUUUACCAUCCUCUGCCCUGUAUGCUCUUAGGUCAAUUU